rnacentral:rRNA from 1 species
UUAGGAAUUUUGGGCAAUGGGCGAAAGCCUGACCCAGCAACGCCGCGUGGGUGAUGAAGGCUCUCGGGUCGUAAAGCCCUUUUCCGGGGGAAGAUAAUGACGGUACCCCGGGAAUAAGCCCCGGCUAACUACGUGCCAGCAGCCGCGGUAAUACGUAGGGGGCAAGCGUUGUCCGGAUUUAUUGGGCGUAAAGCGCGCGUAGGCGGCAAGGUGUGUCGUGCGUAAAAUCUCCCGGCUUAACUGGGAGGCGCCGUGCGAAACUGCCUAGCUUGAGGUCGGAAGGGGAGAGUGGAAUUCCCGGUGUAGUGGUGGAAUACGUAGAUAUCGGGAGGAACACCAGUGGCGAAGGCGGCUCUCUGGUCCGAUUCUGACGCUGAGGCGCGAAAGCGUGGGGAGCGAUCCGGAUUAGAUACCCCCGUAGUCC